GGAAAACUCAACAUCAUUUUUCUCUUUAGACUCCAAGUUGCAGAAUUUCCGUUGAUAGAUUGAGCCUUCGUUUGUGUGAGGAUAGAGGGGAACCCCACUUUAGAACAAUCUUACCGAUCUCCUCGCAGAGCAGAACUCUUCUGUAAACCAUGGCUGUGUACAAAGUGUACUAAAAUAAGAAUUAAAACCUCUUAUUUUAGUGUAAGUAUGUUACUCAAAUUAGUUACGGGAAUUGUGUGCAACGAACCACGUGCGGGGCAGAGAUCACUCAUGAGUUAAUAGUCACCCCUAAACCAGUUAAUCGAAAUAGAUUGUGAAAAAGUCAGUAGAUAAAAAUGAUUGCUAUUAAAAAAAAUUCAAAACAAAGCAAACACACACACGCAUGCACACACACACGCACACAAAACACUCUCUUGCUAGCCCUGCUGUUUAGUGAUAGACUGUGGGUUUUUCAAUUGAACUUUUGUGUCUCGGUAUGAUGUUUUCUGUUUAAAUUUCAGAUUUGCUGCAAAUACAUCCACACAAAGAAGGCACUGAACAUAUAGGUAGAUGUGUAUUCUGUUUCAGACUUUCUCCUUAAAACAUUCAUAUAUGUAUAUCUAUAGAGAGAGACACACACACAUACACACAUAUACACACAUUUGUAUUUGAAUUAGUCAGGAUGGAAGGAGGUAAGUCACUUCAACCUUUAAGCCCCUUUGACAUUCACAAGGUGCUAAAAGUCAGCUGGGGUCUCAGCUCUGACAAAUUUGCAUCUCUUUGAAUAUGACGCUUGAAAAACCCCAGCGAUAGAUUAAAUUUUGCCAAGGAGAAAAUGAGAGAGAGGCUUCCAUCUCUCAGGUCUGCUGGGAGGAUCUUUAUGGUUGAUUUACUUUUUUUAAAUAAAUGUUUCUUUAUGUGUUUCCCUCAGUUCCUGCCCAGGCUGACUCUAUCAUACAAGCUGUAACUUCUGCCAGUCCUAUCAGCCAGCAAACAGUUUUGCUGGAGAGGGAGAAGGCAGCAACAGAGACAGCAUGGUGGAGUGAGGUGAGCAUCAUGAGAAAGCCAUCUGGACUCUCUCUUCUGACCUCUACCAUCCGUGCAUCCUUCCCUGAGCAAGACCUGACACAGGACGUCUUGGAAGUUCAAGCUCAUCAUCUGUAUAAGAGGGUGAUACCGUUUGGAUGUUUAUCUGCUCCAAAUCUCAUCUCUAAAUGUGAUCCCCAAUGUUGGAGGCAGGGACUGGCAGGAGGUGUUUGGAUCAUGGGGAUGGAUCCCUCAUGAAUGGCUUGGUUCCAUUCUUGCAGUAAUGAGUGAGGUCUUGCUCUAUCAGUUCACAAGAGAUCCGUUUGUGUAAAAGAGUGUGGUACCUCUCCCAUCCCUCCUGCACCCUCUCUCACCAUGUGACAUGCCAGCUCCCCUUCAUCUUCCACCAUGAUUGUAAGCUUCCUGAGGCCUCACCAGAAGUUAAGCAGAUGCUGGUGCUAUGCUUGUACAGCCUUCAGAACUGUGAGCGAAAUAAACCUCUUUUCUUUAUAAAUUACCCAGUCCCAGGCAUUUCUUU
rnacentral:lncRNA from 1 species